UCAGUUGCUAGAGAAGAACGAAAC
rnacentral:miRNA from 1 species